GUUUCCUUCGGGAAAUUAGUAAAGUGGCGCAAGGGUGAGUAUCACGUGAAUAAUCUGCCCUCGAGAUCGGGAUAACAUGGUGAAAACUAUGCUAAUACCGGAUAAGACCACAUUUCAUAAGAAAUGCGGUAAAAGGAGUCUCAAUCUUCACUCGAGGAUGAGUUCGCGCAACAUUAGCUUGUUGGUGAGAUAAAAGCUCACCAAGGCUACGAUGUUUAGCCGGCCUGAGAGGGUGAACGGCCACACUGGAACUGAGACACGGUCCAGACUCCUACGGGAGGCAGCAGUGGGGAAUAUUGCGCAAUGGGCGAAAGCCUGACGCAGCAACGCCGUGUGAGCGAUGAAGGCUUUAGGGUCGUAAAGCUCUGUCAAAUGGGAAGAAUUUUGACGGUACCAUUAGAGGAAGCCCCGGCUAACUCCGUGCCAGCAGCCGCGGUAAUACGGAGGGGGCAAGCGUUGUUCGGAAUUAUUGGGCGUAAAGCGUAUGUAGGCGGCUAAGUAAGUCAGGCGUGCAAGCCCGUGGCUCAACCACGGAAUUGCGUUUGAAACUACUUAGCUUGAGUACAGGAGAGGAAAGCGGAAUUCCCAGUGUAGCGGUGAAAUGCAUUGAUAUUGGGAGGAACAUCUGUGGCGAAGGCGGCUUUCUGGUCUGUAACUGACGCUGAGAUACGAAAGCCAGGGUAGCGAACGGGAUUAGAUACCCCGGUAGUCCUGGCUGUAAACGAUGGGCACUAGGUGCAGGAGGUAUCGAUCCCUUCUGUGCCGUAGCUAACGC
rnacentral:rRNA from 1 species